GAUGCUGUUCUCAUGGAUGAAUUAAAUGAUACGAGUGUCCAAAUACCAAACCCUUCAAAGAGACUUCAGGGAGCCGUCCCACCUUGCAAAAAUGAGAAAAUGCGCCAAUUGCGGAACCACGAAGACUACGUGGAGAAGCAGCAAGUUGAACCCUGGAGAACGCGUUUGCAAUGCUUGUGGCCAGCACGAAAUAAAGUACAGUGAACCGAGAGAUAAGUCUCGGGAAACUGGAAAGAUGAAAAAAGAAACCCAGGUGUCAACCGUAUACUGUAGUGUGAUGUAAAUUUAAAAUGACUGAUGAUUUUGAGCAUUUUCUGUGUAGGAAUGGAAAUGAUUUUUUAAUUCUGCAAUUUUUAUAAAAAAUGCAUUUUAUGUUUAUGAAUUUUUUAAAAUUACAACAAUUUGAAAAGUAAAACUAAAUAUAUUAUAGUUUUCAUCCGUAGUUGAUAGAACCUCUAUCUCGAAUAAUUUACGAUUAAAUUGUUUUGAAAAGGAAUUAAAAAAAAAAUAUUUGCAAAUGUACCCCGAACUUCAAAAUGUUAGUGCUCUAACUUAUAAUGUUAUUAUAUAGUAUACAAGAGAUUUAAUGGAAAUUAAACAGUGCCUGCCAAAUUAACUAGGCGGAUAGUGGUUUCCUAAACUAUUAGCAGCUCUUGUGCUAUUUUUUUAUCUCUUUCAGAUGCUGUUCUCAUAGAUGAAUUAAGUGAUAUGAGUGUUCUCAUGCAAGACACCAAAGACUUCAGAGACUACCGCACCAGAGAUAUUUCAUGCAGGCAGAGACAAUCUUGGUGUUAUCGCAAUGAGAAUAAUCCAGUCUUAAUUUAUCCGAUAUCGGAGGAAUCCAGGUAGAAUAGAGCUGCGACAGCACCCAUUUACCAACGAAAGUCGAAAAAGGAACAUUAUCCAGGAAUAACCUUUGCAACAACCUGAAAAAGUUGCAGCAUGGUAUGGUUUUAAGCUACCUUUAUCAUUGGACCGUAUUUCUUUGAAGAGAACUUCAAAUGGAAUCCAAACCUGUUCCUUCACAGAACGGUACCAUGAUACUCUGAGGGAUUUUGUGAUGCCAACUCUUCUACUCAGCGUCGAUGCCUUCCAGACAUCAGUUUCAUGCAGGAUGGUGCACCACCUCAUAUUGAUCGUUGCAUAAAGCGAUUGUUAAUACAGCAUAUCACAGAAGCACGAGUUAACAGCCGUCAUUUCCCAAUAGCAUGGCCUCCUGGCUGGUCGGACACCAGCCCUUUCGACUUUUGGUUGUGGGGUUAUUUGAAGGACAAUACUUACCGUCAAAGGCCAUCUCUACAAUUCUGAAGGACAACAUUCAGCGAUAUUUCUUAAUAUUCCGGCAGACUCAGUCCGGUCACCUAUAGAAAAUAUGGUUCUCCGAUUAAAGGAUAUUGUUGAAAA